ensembl:lncRNA
UAAAAAUAUAAACACCCUAUAGAAGUUCCUUACCACCUCUUUUUAUCUUCAAAGAUGAGAUCACUGGGCCUUCAAAUGAGAGUGGUGUUAGGGGGGUCAACAUUUCUGGAUGCUGACUUCAGAUUUUCAGGACUCUUGGGCCUUUGCCAUCAGAUGCCGAGUUUCUACAAGGCCAUCUUAAGAACUGAAACAUACCAGAAAAAGUGGAGGUUAGUCCUUGGAUUUUUUUUAAUGACUUGUUUCCCCUGAUAUCUUGGUGGUCAGGAAGUUCAUUGUACUGUCUACGUUUUUUGGCUUCAAUUUAAAGUAUGUUUUCUAGUCUGUCUUUUAGUGAGCUGGAAAUAAUGCAUCCUAUGCCCCUUUGAACAGUCCUUCUUACUGCUGAAUAUGAUUGCUAAGGUGCCCUUCAACUAUCAUUACUGUAAGCCAUCUCCUAUUUUCUGUCCUGAAAAAGAACUUUGAUUUAAUACUUCAUCUCCAUGGAUGUAGUCCAGUUCAACACAACUGACCCUGAUUCAGCUUACUGGCAACAGUGUCCACAUUCUGACUGCAAAAUUCCUCAUUCCCUGUUCAAACCUGAAAACAGGACGUGGGGAUAGAGGCCAUGGAUAACACUAGGCGAAGGUUCUUGUACCAAAGUGAACAGGGAAAAGACCGCUAAGGUCCUGGUUCCCAGACUAUGCGCAGGGCACUGCAACAAACCUAAGAGUGCUACAGGGGAUUCUAAACUUGUG